CCUCCCGCCGAUCCCUUGGAUAUGCUUAUGUUAACUAUACAAACGCCGCUGAUGCGGCAAGAGCAUUAGAUGGCCUGAACUUCACUCCUCUCAAUGGGAAGGCUAUUCGAAUAAUGUAUUCAAACCGUGACCCCAGUACGCGGAAAAGUGGGGCUGCCAAUAUUUUUAUCAAGAAUCUGGACAAGGCUAUAGACAACAAAUCACUUCAUGAGACCUUUAACUCGUUCGGGAACAUUCUUUCUUGCAAGAUUGCCACAGAUUCAAAUGGUCAAUCUAGAGGCUAUGGGUUUGUCCAAUAUGAGCACGAGGAGUCAGCACAAAAUGCAAUAAACCAGUUAAAUGGCAUGCUUCUCAAUGAUAAACCAGUUUUUGUUGGACCCUUCUUGCGCAAACACGAGAGGG
rnacentral:misc_RNA from 1 species